rnacentral:lncRNA from 1 species
GGAGAUGAUUGGAGAAUUUUGGUCGCCAUGGAAGAGAUGCAAAAACUGAAGCUUCUAGGUUGCCAAGGAGUUGGUGAUUCUUACUCGUCUGUUUUGUUCAAUGUUUGCAAAGAUGUUCAACACAUAGCUUGUAGAACUGUAGUUGACUGUGUGUUGUUCAAAUACAAUAUCUAUUGAUUUCGUGAAAUUUCGCGAAAUAGUAGUUCGUUGUAUAUAGCACCACUCUAGGUUAAGUUGAUAUGACCAUAUGGUAGUGAAUCG